GGGGAGUGAAGUGCAUUGAAGCAGUAACCACGGUCUUCCUCCUUCUGGUUGUAGUUAUUCUUGCCGGUGUACAAGCUGUAACCACUUCCGUGUUCCUUGUCCCGUGGUUCCGUGACGCGUGUCACCCCUCCUCCUGGGGCUAUCUCCUCCCACUGGAGAUCAUCUUUUAUUCAUGAGUUCUUUGGCCAUGAUCUAAUCGGCUUAAUAAGCU